rnacentral:rRNA from 1 species
GAUGAACGCUGGCGGCGUGCUUAACACAUGCAAGUCGAACGAUGAACCCUCACUUGUGGGGGGGAUUAGUGGCGAACGGGUGAGUAACACGUGAGUAACCUGCCCAUAACUCUGGGAUAAGCCUGGGAAACUGGGUCUAAUACUGGAUAUUGACUUUUCCUCGCAUGGGGUUUGGUUGAAAGCUUUAGUGGUUUUGGAUGGACUCGCGGCCUAUCAGCUUGUUGGUGAGGUAAUGGCUCACCAAGGCGACGACGGGUAGCCGGCCUGAGAGGGUGACCGGCCACACUGGGACUGAGACACGGCCCAGACUCCUACGGGAGGCAGCAGUGGGGAAUAUUGCACAAUGGGCGAAAGCCUGAUGCAGCGACGCCGCGUGAGGGAUGACGGCCUUCGGGUUGUAAACCUCUUUCAGUAGGGAACAAGGCUACACGUUGUGUGGUUGAGGGUACUUGCAGAAGAAGCACCGGCUAACUACGUGCCAGCAGCCGCGGUAAUACGUAGGGUGCAAGCGUUAUCCGGAAUUAUUGGGCGUAAAGAGCUCGUAGGCGGUUUGUCGCGUCUGCCGUGAAAGUCCGGGGCUCAACCCCGGAUCUGCGGUGGGUACGGGCAGACUAGAGUGAUGUAGGGGAGACUGGAAUUCCUGGUGUAGCGGUGAAAUGCGCAGAUAUCAGGAGGAACACCGAUGGCGAAGGCAGGUCUCUGGGCAUUAACUGACGCUGAGGAGCGAAAGCAUGGGGAGCGAACAGG